rnacentral:rRNA from 1 species
CCCUUAGAUGUUCUGGGCCGCACGCGUGCUACACCGAGUGGAUCAGCGGGUCAGGUUGCGCGAAAGUGUUUCCUAAUCUUGAAAUCCGCUCGUGAUGGGGAUUGACGGUUGCAAUUUUCCGUCAUGAACGAGGAAUACCUUGUAAGCGCGGGUCAUCAUCCCGCGCUGAAUACGUCCCUGCCCUUUGUACACACCGCCCGUCGCUCCUACCGAUUGAGUGGUCCGGUGAGGCUUUGGGAUCUGAGCAAAAAGAGCGUUUCGCUCGUUUGGCUCGGAAAACUCAGUCGAACCUUAUCAUUUAGAGGAAGGAGAAGUCGUAACA